rnacentral:rRNA from 1 species
GACGUAGGGCGCAAGCGUUGUCCGGAUUUAUUGGGCGUAAAGAGCUCGUAGGCGGCCUGUCGCGUCGACCGUGAAAACCCGCAGCUCAACUGCGGGCUUGCGGUCGAUACGGGCAGGCUGGAGUUCGGUAGGGGAGACUGGAAUUCCUGGUGUAGCGGUGAAAUGCGCAGAUAUCAGGAGGAACACCGGUGGCGAAGGCGGUUCUCUGGGCCUGUACUGACGCUGAGGAGCGAAAGCGUGGGGAGCGAACAGG